GGAGAGGUCGCAUAGUGGCCUAGUGCGGCGGUUUGCUAAACCGCUGAUGGGGCAACCCAUCCGAGAGUUCGAAUCUCUCCCUCUCCGCCA
rnacentral:tRNA from 1 species